rnacentral:rRNA from 1 species
UACGAAGGGGGCUAGCGUUGCUCGGAAUUACUGGGCGUAAAGGGCGCGUAGGCGGACAGUUUAGUCAGAGGUAAAAGCCCAGGGCUCAACCUUGGAACUGCCUUUGAUACUGACUGUCUUGAGUUCGGGAGAGGUGAGUGGAAUGCCGAGUGCAGAGGUGAAAUUCGUAGAUAUUCGGCGGAACACCAGUGGCGAAGGCGACUCACUGGCCCGAUACUGACGCUGAGGCGCGAAAGCGUGGGGAGCAAACAGG